CGGUGCUAGGAAACCAUGUCGUGUUCAGCCCCAGACUUAACAAGGCAGAGCCUUCUUUAUUCUAUCCCAAAUCAUUAAGUCACCUGAGACCCUUUGGGGUCAGGAACCGCAGGAAUCCCAAGAACCACCUGGCACCUUACCGUCAGCAUCAUUCCCGGGUCACCAAUGACAGCACCACUCUUGGUUCUGAUCCAAUGCAGGAGCAGGAAACCGAAGGAGUUUGUGGAGGCCACCUUGUACAAAUCCAGGGACGUGAUGCCCGGAGAGGAGCCUUAAGGACCGUAUUGGGGAGAUGUGGAGGGGAGGACAUAGGGUCCAGCGUGGCAGCAGCCGUCGGCCAUGCAAAGCCGCCCCGCAGCUACGGCAGGCAGCUCCCAGCAAAUGGAAUAUUGACCGGGUCUCUACACUUGGUUUAUAAGCAAAGUGAAAAGCAAAUCUCUCUCGGUGGCCAUUUUUCACUGAUGAGUGGCUCAGACCAUCAGAUUGAUUUCACCCAUGUGCUGGGGACCGGGACGCCACUCGGAGCACCCCAGAGGUUUAUUAAAAAGAACAGUCAAUGCUAUGCAGGUAUGGUUUCCUUUGGCACCUCAGCAGUAGUCAGCAGGGCAGAGGAGGGAGUCUGAAAGCGUUGCCAGGCUGACACGUCAGGACCAGAAGACCCAGCAGGUCAAGGAGAAGGCCCAUGGGGGACAUCUGGGCUGUGUCCUGGGUGACCAGCAGUGCUCCCUUCCAGCUGAGUAACAGGUGCACCGUGCCCGUCACUGGGACAUGAUGUCCUUAAAGACCUCACUGUCAUCAUGACGUGUUGGAUCCAUCGCUGUGCGUCCACCAAGACCAG